GGUAGAUCAAAGUUCUUCGAAAGUUUCGGAUGGAAUUUGGAAAGAUGAAAAAGGAAGACAUGGUAAAGCUGAUCAGUGCUGAGGGCUUCGAAUUCGUCAUCGAAAAAUAAGCUGCCAUGGUUUCUCAGACUAUUCGUAACAUGCUCACUUCUCCAGGGAGUUUUGCUGAAACUCAGCAUGGAGAAGUCACGUUCCCAGAGAUAAGUACCACUAUCUUGGAGAAGAUCUGUCAGUAUUUCUAUUGGUCUCUGCAAUACGCUAGUGGAAAGGGGAAUGAAUUCAA